CCACAUUUAGAGCAAUUUCAUUUCUUAUCAUAUAUAUUCAGAGAGCUUAUAAGCCUUUCUAGUAGAGCAUCAGCAAUGGGGGCUCGGAAAUUAGCUCGAGCCCCCAUUUUCCGCGCCCGCGCCCGCCCCCGUUGCCGUUGCCGCACCCUUGGCUCGCGCCAACUCCGCUCCAAUGCUUCGGGCUCAAACAGGAGAGAGAUUAGGCGCGUGCUAUGCACCGCCCAAUCAGUUAAUUUC
rnacentral:lncRNA from 1 species